rnacentral:rRNA from 1 species
AUGGGGAAGCAUCCAUGGGUGGUUCUAGGGGACUUCAACAAGAUUUUACUUUCAUCAGAAAAGGAGGGUGGCAAUGUGAGACCAAACGCUAUGAUGAGAGACUUUCGCAUUUGUUUAGGAGAGUGCGGCCUUGAGGAUAUGGGAUGUACUGGUGAUCUUUUCACUUGGAGGAGAGGAGAUACUAGGGAAAGACUUGACCGUGCGGUGUGCAAUGUUGAGUGGGCGACAAAAUUCCCUCGGGCUGCAAUUAUCCAUGAGGAACAUGUCCAUUCCGACCAUCGCCCACUCGUACUGGAUACGGAGUAUUAUGACGGCAAUAUAUUUAGUAGACCAAGGGGAUGA